GACGAACGCUGGCGGCGUGCUUAACACAUGCAAGUCGAACGGAAAGGCCCUGCUUUUGUGGGGUGCUCGAGUGGCAAAGGGGUGUGUAACACGUGAGUAACGUGCUCUACUUUUUGGGAUGACUUCAGGAAAGUGGGGCUAAUCCGAGAUAGGAGAUCCUGCUGGAUGGUGGGGGUUGGAUAGUUUGGGCGGGUGGGGAUGGACUCGCGGCUUGUCUGCUUGUUGGUGGGGGAGUGGCUUACCCAGGCAGUGGCGGGUAGCCGGCCUGAGAGGGUGACCGGCCACAGGGGGACUGAGACACGGCCCAGACCCCUACGGGAGGCAACAGGGGGGAAUAUUGCACAGGGGGCGGGAGUCUGAUGCAGCAGCGCCGCGGGCGAGAUGACGGCCUUCGGGGUGAAAACCGCUUUCGCCUAAGACGAAGCUGUAGUGACGGUAACGAGUAAAGAAGCACCGGCUAACUACGUG
rnacentral:rRNA from 1 species